rnacentral:lncRNA from 1 species
UCACAACACUCAACAUCGUCAAUGGCAAAAACACACACGCAGGUUAAUUAAGUCAUGCCUUGCCUCUCAAGAAGUGUCGCAUUCUCGAGAAAAAAUUCCACAUACAUUAAAGGUCGUGUAUGUAGCUAAAAGUUGGAAUCUUUAAUUUAUAUGUAACCAAUCGAAUAAAUAAAUAUUCUACAGUAGUCAAAGUUGCCGUCUAUCUUGUUUUAUAACUUGUAAUUAUUAUAAAAAUCUAGUUUUCCACUUAUCUAGAAGUGAGUGUGUGUGUGUGGAUAGAUCUCACCUCACAUUCACAAAUCACAAUAGCAGAAGAUUAUGGCAACAAAAGUGAAGGUUUUGGGGUUUUGGUGUAGUCCUUUUGUGUUUAGGGUAGUAUGGGCAUUGAAGCUAAAGGGUGUUGAAUUUGAAUACAUUGAAGAAGACGUCUUUAACAAAAGCACCAGGCUUCUUGAGCUGAACCCAGUUCAUAAAAAGGUUCCUGUGCUUGUUCAUGAUGACAAAGUGAUAGUUGAGUCGUUUGUUAUUCUGGAGUACAUCGAUGAGACAUGGCCACAAGAUCCGUUGCUGCCUCAAGAUCCUUAUGAAAAAGCCACGGCUCGAUUUUGGGCUAAAUUUGCAGAUGAAAAGGUGAGUGUUAAUGUUUUUACAACUUUGAAUUCAAUUAAAACUUCGAUUUGACUUUUUCAAAACAAGUUUGUGGUUUUUCGGUUAAAAGUUCUCUCUGAACUAAAACAAUGGUUUGGCCUCCUAAUUUUUUAUUUUUAGCUGAUGCAAACUGCAUGCAAGUCAACGUGGACCAAAGGAGAGGAAAAAGAGGAUGCUCUGAAAGCAACAAUGGAAGCUUUGGAGAAGAUAGAGGGAGAACUCAAAGGAAAAAGCUACUUUGGAGGAGAGAACAAAUAUGCGUAUUUGGAAAUUGCAAUUGGAUGGAUCAAUUACCUUCUACCAAUUUGGGAAGAAAUUGCAUCCAUUCAAUUUCUUGACCCGAAAAGAUUUCCAGCCAUUACUGCAUGGAAAAGCAAGUUUCUGGAUAACCCUUUGAUCAAAGAAACCCUGCCACCAAGGGAGAAAUUGCUUAUCUAUUUUCACGAGCGCGUCAAACAAUGGGAGAUUGACGCUACAAUCCGUGAACUGGCGGAGACCAAACUUGAAAAUUAAUUAACUAAUCGAAUUAUCAUCUCUGCACGUGUCUCCUUUCUGUACGCUCUGUAUGAUUUCGUUGUUUUUUAUUAUUAUUGUUAUUAUUAUUUUUAUAAGUACUUUGGGUCAAGUUGAAUCUGUAUUGAGAAAAUAAAGAAGAGGUAUGACCUAUUUAUUAUGCUUUGGCGGGACAAAAAUUAUACAUUACUUUCAUGGAACUAUUUUUUCAGAUAUAUGGAAUUUGUAGCUAGAUCAAGAGUUAAAGAGUUGAAGAUUAGCUUCAAUCUUAUAAACAUGGCCUAAAGUUCAUCCUAUAUUAAUGUAGGAUUUUUCCUUAAUUAACUUCUGUUAUGUGCACAUCAAUUUUUUUUUUGUUAGAUCCUUAUCACAUAGAAAGAUAAUUUGGAUCCACUCAUAGGUGAAUUUGUCUAUUAUUACAUAUUUAAAUCUAUGAGUUUAAUUCAUGUUCAAAAACUCAUUUAGAUCUUGAGGAAUAUUGCCUUUAACCCAAUAUUCAUUUGCAAUUAAGUGGAGAUCCUCCCAUGUAAUGAAAAAUUGUUUUAUUUAAAUUAAAUUAAACAAGAAACACAUUUCAUCAAUAUACUAUAACGGGAAGAGCAUUUGGCGCCCCUGAGCAUUGAUUAAACUUAUUUUCUAUUAGAAUUUAUGUUGCUAGUAUAAUUAUUGGGCAAAUUAAUUGUUUCCAAAAGGGCAUCAUACAUUAGUUCUUAUCAUUUUUGUCAACUUCAUAUAAUUAGGAGAAAUUCUAUAAACAGACUCUUAAAGAUUUUAGAUUUAAAAGCUAUAAAAUAAGAUGAAAAAAAAACUACCUUACAAUAAUUGUAUGUUACAAUGAUAAUAAGUUUUUAUAAGAUAGACGGACCCACUAUAAGCUGAGUUAAAAAUAUCAAAUAUAUGCAUCAAUUAUUUGGAGGUAUGUAUAGAACAUUCAUUUUUUUAUAUUCUACUAACAUUCUGUUGCUAAAAAUAAUAAUGUUAUACUAGUUUAGUUAGGAUAACUAAUUUAUAUUCCAAUUGAUGUGACAUUAUUUGAUUAACUUAAGUGAUAGUUAGUUAUUAAAUUUUAUCAUUUCACAUAAAUUAAAAUAUAAACAAAAUAUUCCAACUAAAUAAAUAUAGCAUCACUCAUUUUUAAAAAUUUUAAGUUUUUGGAAAUAACGAAUAUCUCCCGUUGUAUAUAUAAUAUAUUAAUACCUGAUAAAUUUAUUAAAAUAAAAGAAUUGCAAAGAAUACAACUAGCAGCUAGUUCGAGAAGGACCUAAGGGAGCCUUACUCUUAACAAAUUAACAAUUUUCAAAGCCUAUACCUAUUAGAAAAGACACUUAAAAAUAAUGAAUAAUCAAACAGAUCUGCAGUAAGGUAUAUAUCACAAGAUAUUGUGAUGUAAUCAAUUAUGAAUUUAUGUUGGACUAUUAAUGUUGUUGUUACACUUAGGUGUUACACUUAGAAAUUCCCGGCCAUUGCUGAAUGGAGCACCAAGUUUCUGAAACACCCUGUCAUCAAAGAAAACUUGCCACCCAGGGACAAGACGCUUGCCUAUUUUCACAAGCGAGCAGAAGCGAUUAUGCCGACUUUUGUGCAUCGGAGAAUUAAAGUUGCAAUGCUGUGUGUAAUGUAUAUUUCAUCUUUAAAUCAAAUAUUUAGAAAGAAUAAGAUGAUAUCCUAUGAUUAGGCCUAUGUUCUAUAAUAUGCAAGAACUGCCUGUUAUGUCUUCAUAAAUUUGGAAGCCUACAAAGAAUUAGGAAGCUUCUCUCUUUUUAUCAGAAUUUUGCAAAUAACGGUUGUAUAAAUGGUUUCAAAGAUGAGUUUAUUUAGUAAAAUAAUGGGAGUAGUAAAUUUUAGUUAAGGGACAGAGGCUGCAUUAGGCAUCCUAGUGGGUGUAUAACUAAAAAAAAAUAUUUUUUUAUAUAUUUAAUAAUAGAUCUUUUGAAAAGAUGGGUUUAUAAAAUAGUUUAGUGGAUGUCAUCACUUAAAUUUUAACAAAUAAUAAUAAUAACAACUCUCUAAAGAAAAUCAAGCAAAAAUAAUAAUAGCUUGAAGACUUAAUACUACCUGGAGGAGCUGCAAGCAUCAUGAGACAGGAUAGCCUUAAGCCCUUGACCAUAUCUUGGGGGCUGCAUCACUGUACCACCACCCAAAUCAUCAUACUGCAGGCUCAAUUUAGACAAGAAAAUUCUAUCGGUUUACUAAGGCCCAAUUUAAUCUAACUCAAUCUAGUUAAAUUAAUAUAGGUUGAUUGGGUCAUAAUGGGUUGAUUCGGCCAAUUUAUUAAGUGGUGAUAAUUGACUCCCUUAUUUUAUCUAACUAGCCCCCCACUUUUUAAUUAAAUCCAUUAAAAAUUUGAAAUUAAUUUUUAUCCCUUAAAAUAUCUCAACUAAUCCCAAUUUUAUUUUUAUUAUAAUUUUUUUUUCAACCAUCCAUCGUAUAAAACUUAUGAAAUCUAUUUUAAAAAAACUCUAAAAACAUUUAAAAAGAAAAGAACAUCAUAUUAUUUAUCGUUAGAUGUUGGUUACAAUGGAAAAUAUUUAGUUUUAUGAUGGGGAAUUAUGUGCUUUGUUACUAUUUGAAUUUAAUUUUAAAUUCCAAAUCAUUUUUUAAACUUUUAUAUUUGAAUUUUUUGUAUUUUUAAUUUUGAUCAAUUCAAUCAACCCAACCCAACCAAACCAUUGCUGAUGAUUUAAGGGUUGGAUUUGACAUGUUUAUUUGUUUAAUUUAUUAAUUCUUCUCAACCCAAUUAACAAUGGAUUGAGUUGGAUUUUUAUAAACUGAAUCCAAUUCAACCCAUGUCCACCUCUAGAAAUUAAAUUCUUUUGUAAAAUAGUGUUAGAAAAAUAUUUUAACAAGGAUCUAUUUUUAAAUUAAAAAAGGGGAGAAGUUCUCAUCUCUACAUAGGAUAUUGUUGCAUAUAAAACAUUGAAAUGAAAAAAAAAUUAGAAACUAGACUUUUGAAAUUUCAAAUGUCCUCAUAGAACUCAACACCGUCAAUGGCAAAAACACACACGCAGGUUAAUUAAGUCAUGCCUUGCCUCUCAAGAAGUGUCGCAUUCUCGAGAAAAAUUCCACAUACAUUAAAGGUCGUGUGUAUGUAGCAUAAAAGUUGGAUUCUUUAAUUUAUAUGUAACCAAUAAAAAAAAAAAUAAUAAUAAUCUACAGCAGUCAAAGUUGCCGUCUAUCUUGUCUUCUAACUUGUAAUUAUUAUAAAAAUCUAGUUUUCCACUUAUCUAGAAGUGAGCGUGUGUGUGUGGAUAGAUCUCACCUCACAUUCACAAAUCACAAUAGCAGAUGAUUAUGGCAACAAAAGUGAAGGUUUUGGGGUUUUGGUGUAGUCCUU